UCGGGAAUUUUGGGCAAUGGGGGAAACCCUGACCCAGCAACGCCGCGUGAAGGAUGAAGUAUUUCGGUAUGUAAACUUCGAAAGAAUAGGAAGAAUAAAUGACGGUACUAUUUAUAAGGUCCGGCUAACUACGUGCCAGCAGCCGCGGUAAUACGUAAGGACCAAGCGUUGUUCGGAUUUACUGGGCGUAAAGGGCGCGUAGGCGGCAUGACAAGUCACUUGUGAAAUCUCUGGGCUUAACCCAGAACGGCCAAGUGAUACUGUCGCGCUAGAGUGCAGAAGGGGCAAUCGGAAUUCUUGGUGUAGCGGUGAAAUGCGUAGAUAUCAAGAGGAACACCUGAGGUGAAGACGGGUUGCUGGGCUGACACUGACGCUGAGGCGCGAAAGCCAGGGGAGCAAACGGGAUUAGAUACCCAAGUAGUCCCUGAGCGGGCUGGCAAGGCGCAU
rnacentral:rRNA from 1 species